AGGGUCUGCGACUUAGUCUGACGAGCAAGCUUAAGGCGAUAGCUGUAGGCGAAGCGAAAGCGAGUCUGAACAGGGCGUUCAGUUCGUCGGACUAGACCCGAACAGUCGAUCUAUCCAUGGCCAGGUUGAAAGUAGGGUAACACCUACUGGAGGACCGAACCGGUGCCUGUUGAAAAAGUCUCGGAUGAGCUGUGGAUAGGGGUGAAAGGCCAAUCAAGGCUGGAAAUAGCUGGUUCUCCGCGAAAUCUAUUUAGGUAGAGCCUCGAGUGAAUACCCCAGGGGGUAGAGCACUGGAUGGGCUAGGGGCCCCCACAGGGUUACCAAACCUAACCAAACUCCGAAUACCUGGGGAGUACUACUCGGGAGACACACGGCGGGUGCUAACGUCCGUCGUGAAAAGGGAAAAAACCCUGACCGACAGCUAAGGUCCUCAAGUCAUGGCUAAGUGGGAAAGGAUGUGGAAAUCCCAAAACAACCAGGAGGUUGGCUUAGAAGCAGCCAUCCUUUAAAGAAAGCGUAACAGCUCACUGGUCUAAAUAAGGGUUUCUGCGCCGAAAAUGUAACGGGG
rnacentral:rRNA from 1 species